AUGAACGCUGGCGGCGUGCCUCAUACAUGCAAGUCGAGCGAACGGACGAGAAGCUUGCUUUUCUGAUGUUAGCGGCGGACGGGUGAGUAACACGUGGAUAACCUACCUAUAAGACUGGGAUAACUUCGGGAAACCGGAGCUAAUACCGGAUAAUAUUUUGAACCGCAUGGUUCAAAAGUGAAAGACGGUCUUGCUGUCACUUAUAGAUGGAUCCGCGCUGCAUUAGCUAGUUGGUAAGGUAACGGCUUACCAAGGCAACGAUGCAUAGCCGACCUGAGAGGGUGAUCGGCCACACUGGAACUGAGACACGGUCCAGACUCCUACGGGAGGCAGCAGUAGGGAAUCUUCCGCAAUGGGCGAAAGCCUGACGGAGCAACGCCGCGUGAGUGAUGAAGGUCUUCGGAUCGUAAAACUCUGUUAUUAGGGAAGAACAUAUGUGUAAGUAACUGUGCACAUCUUGACGGUACCUAAUCAGAAAGCUAGGGCUGACUACGUG
rnacentral:rRNA from 1 species